UUUACUAGCAAUUAUAUAAUUUACAUCGACCGUUUUAUUACAUAGUUCAACUAUUAUUUAUUUAUUAUAAUAUUAUAUUUUAUUUACAAGUAUAUAUAUAUUGUAAAAUUUCUAUUUCAAUAGAAUAAUAUUAUUUGCAGUUGUUAUUAUCCUAAUCGGUUAUAUUUACUUCAACAUAAAAUUUACUUAAUUUUACUAUAAUUAAUAUCAAUUUUAAUUAACUUAUAUAUUUAUGAAUCAAAUAGGCAAUUUAAUAUAUAUGUGCAGAAUAAAUUUGACGUAGGCCUUUGUCGUUAUAUAAGAUCCAAUAGGUAAAACCUUGGUUUUGGGCAUUGUUAAAAUUGGUAAAAAUACAAGUUUGUUUUAAUUUCAAUUUUCAAAGUUUUAAUAUUUAUAUUUUUACUAAUUAAAAAACUAAUCUCUAAUAUUUGAUUAAGCGGAUUUAACGUGGACACCUGCCGCUAUAUAAAAUAAUAGUUGUUAAACUUUUAUAUAAAUAUCGUUAAAAUUAGUUGGAAUAUAAAUCCGUUUUAACCUGAUAUUUUUCCAAAUGUUUAUUUUAAAUACCUGUUUAGCUUUCAAAUACGUUAUACUACGUAAUAAUAGUACCAAAUUUAAUUAAUAUGAAGCUUUUACUUAUAUUACCCUCUACGUGCAAAGAUUUUAAAAUUUAAUUAAAGAUUAAAAUGAUAAUUUAAUAAAAUUAAAAUAUUUUAAUAAAGUUUGGAUCCCCAUUAAUAAAAUCUUCCUAAUUUUAUCCUAGUCUGGUUAGUUCGCAUAUUAAAAAUAAAAAUUAAAUCUUUGCUAAAAUUUUGGCGGAUUAUUUUAUUUAACAUGCAAAUUAUAUAUUUUGAAAACUUUGGUUUAAUUUGUGAAAAAGGAGUAGACGUUUUAUUUAAUUAUUUAAUAUAUGGUAGCAUCCCCGCUAACGACGAAAAACGACAAAAUAACCUUAAUUUUAAAUCGAAGCAAUUCGUAUUUGAACCCACAGGUAUAAUAUAUAACCGCAGCUUAACGUGGUUUAAUUGCGGAACUACUAGUUCUGGGAAUAAACCCUGAAAUUACCAAUUCCGUAUAAUAUUAGAAAAAUAAAAGGCACUUGUAGUAAUUAAAAAACCAAUAAUAUAAUUAAAAAUAAACUUAUUUAAUAUUGGAAAAAAUUACAAUAUUUUAUAUUUAAACCCUUUUACCUUUUUGUUAUCAAACACUUUUGAAUUUAUAAUUACGUCAAUUGAUUAUUAUUUUUUUUACCGAUUAUUAAUACCUCAAUUCCAAAUGUUUUAUUAGUUGUUAUAAUAUUUGCUUAUUUUAUUUUAGAAUUUGUAAACGUUUUAAUAUGGGUAAUUAAUUUUAUUACUUCCUUAAUUAGGUUUAUAUAUUCUUAGUAAUAUUUUACUUAUUACAUUAUGUUUCCUGCCCUUUUUCCAAAACGAACUACGUUAAUUCUUUUAAAUAUAUAUAUUGCCCUAUAUUUUUAAUAUUAUUUGUACGUUUAGUUUAUUUGUUUCAUUUCGCCGUCCGUUUAUAUAUAGUAAACUGUACUAAACUUAUAUUACAUUU
rnacentral:sRNA from 1 species